rnacentral:rRNA from 1 species
GAUGAACGCUGGCGGCGUGCCUAAUACAUGCCAGUCGAGCGAACAGACGAGGAGCUUGCUCCUCUGACGUUAGCGGCGGACGGGUGAGUAACACGUGGAUAACCUACCUAUAAGACUGGGAUAACUUCGGGAAACCGGAGCUAAUACCGGAUAAUAUAUUGAACCGCAUGGUUCAAUAGUGAAAGACGGUUUUGCUGUCACUUAUAGAUGGAUCCGCGCCGCAUUAGCUAGUUGGUAAGGUAACGGCUUACCAAGGCGACGAUGCGUAGCCGACCUGAGAGGGUGAUCGGCCACACUGGAACUGAGACACGGUCCAGACUACUACGGGAGGCAGCAGUAGGGAAUCUUCCGCAAUGGGCGAAAGCCUGACGGAGCAACGCCGCGUGAGUGAUGAAGGUCUUCGGAUCGUAAAACUCUGUUAUUAGGGAAGAACAAAUGUGUAAGUAACUAUGCACGUCUUGACGGUACCUAAUCAGAAAGCCACGGCUAACUACGUG